CCUACGGGUGGCAGCAGUGAGGAAUAUUGGUCAAUGGGCGCGAGCCUGAACCAGCCAAGUAGCGUGAAGGAUGACUGCCCUACGGGUUGUAAACUCCUUUUAUAAAGGAAUAAAGUGAGGCACGUGUGCCUUUUUGUAUGUACUUUAUGAAUAAGGACCGGCUAACUUCGUGCCAGCAGCCGCGGUAAUACGGAGGAUCCGAGCGUUAUCCGGAUUUAUUGGGUUUAAAGGGAGCGUAGAUGGGUUGUUAAGUCAGUUGUGAAAGUUUGCGGCUCAACCGUAAAAUUGCAAUUGAUACUGGCAGCCUUGAGUAGAGUUGAGGUAGGCGGAAUUCGUGGUGUAGCGGUGAAAUGCUGAGAUAUCACGAAGAACACCGAUUGCGAAGGCAGCUUACUAAACUGCCACUGACAUUGAUGCGCGAAAGUGUGGGUAUCAAACAGGAUUAGAUACCCCAGUAGUC
rnacentral:rRNA from 1 species